CUUAAGCACUCGGUGAAGUAGGUGAACAAGCUGGAAAGCUUGGCGAUACAGGGUGAUAGCCCCGUAACCGACGCUUCAUCGAGCGUGAAAUCGAGUAGGACGGGACACGUGAUAUCCUGUCUGAAUAUGGGGGGACCAUCCUCCAAGGCUAAAUACUCCUGACUGACCGAUAGUGAACCAGUACCGUGAGGGAAAGGCGAAAAGAACCCCUGUGAGGGGAGUGAAAUAGAACCUGAAACCGUGUACGUACAAGCAGUAGGAGCACCUUCGUGGUGUGACUGCGUACCUUUUGUAUAAUGGGUCAGCGACUUAUAUUCAGUGGCAAGGUUAACCGUAUAGGGGAGCCGUAGCGAAAGCGAGUCUUAACUGGGCGCUCAGUCUCUGGAUAUAGACCCGAAACCGGGUGAUCUAGCCAUGGGCAGGUUGAAGGUUGAGUAACAUCAACUGGAGGACCGAACCGACUAAUGUUGAAAAAUUAGCGGAUGACUUGUGGCUAGGGGUGAAAGGCCAAUCAAACUCGGAGAUAGCUGGUUCUCCCCGAAAGCUAUUUAGGUAGCGCCUCGGACGAAUACUACUGGGGGUAGAGCACUGUUAAGGCUAGGGGGUCAUCCCGACUUACCAACCCUUUGCAAACUCCGAAUACCAGUAAGUACUAUCCGGGAGACACACGGCGGGUGCUAACGUCCGUCGUGGAGAGGGAAACAACCCAGACCGCCAGCUAAGGUCCCAAAGUAUUGCUAAGUGGGAAACGAUGUGGGAAGGCUCAGACAGCUAGGAUGUUGGCUUAGAAGCAGCCAUCAUUUAAAGAAAGCGUAAUAGCUCACUAGUCGAGUCGGCCUGCGCGGAAGAUGUAACGGGGCUAAGCAAUACACCGAAGCUGCGGCAAUGUCUUUUAGACAUUGGGUAGGGGAGCGUUCUGUAAGCCGUUGAAGGUGAAUCGUAAGGUUUGCUGGAGGUAUCAGAAGUGCGAAUGCUGACAUGAGUAACGACAAAGGGGGUGAAAAACCUCCUCGCCGGAAGACCAAGGGUUCCUGUCCAACGUUAAUCGGGGCAGGGUGAGUCGACCCCUAAGGUGAGGCCGAAAGGCGUAAUCGAUGGGAAACGGGUUAAUAUUCCCGUACUUCUGACUAUUGCGAUGGGGGGACGGAGAAGGCUAGGUGGGCCAGGCGACGGUUGUCCUGGUUCAAGUGCGUAGGCUUGAGAGUUAGGUAAAUCCGGCUCUCUCUAAGGCUGAGACACGACGUCGAGCUACUACGGUAGUGAAGUCAUUGAUGCCAUGCUUCCAGGAAAAGCCUCUAAGCUUCAGAUAGUCAGGAAUCGUACCCCAAACCGACACAGGUGGUCGGGUAGAGAAUACCAAGGCGCUUGAGAGAACUCGGGUGAAGGAACUAGGCAAAAUGGUACCGUAACUUCGGGAGAAGGUACGCUCUUGAUGGUGAAGUCCCUCGCGGAUGGAGCUGACGAGAGUCGCAGAUACCAGGUGGCUGCAACUGUUUAUUAAAAACACAGCACUGUGCAAAAUCGCAAGAUGACGUAUACGGUGUGACGCCUGCCCGGUGCCGGAAGGUUAAUUGAUGGGGUUAGCGCAAGCGAAGCUCUUGAUCGAAGCCCCGGUAAACGGCGGCCGUAACUAUAACGGUCCUAAGGUAGCGAAAUUCCUUGUCGGGUAAGUUCCGACCUGCACGAAUGGCGUAAUGAUGGCCACGCUGUCUCCACCCGAGACUCAGUGAAAUUGAAAUCGCUGUGAAGAUGCAGUGUACCCGCGGCUAGACGGAAAGACCCCGUGAACCUUUACUACAGCUUGGCACUGAACAUUGAACCUACAUGUGUAGGAUAGGUGGGAGGCUAUGAAGACGUGACGCCAGUUGCGUUGGAGCCGUCCUUGAAAUACCACCCUUGUAUGU
rnacentral:rRNA from 1 species